UCCCUGGUGGCUCAGUUGGUAAAGAAUCUGCCUGCAAUGCAGGAGACCCGGGUUCGAUUCCUGGGUUGGGAA
rnacentral:tRNA from 1 species